rnacentral:rRNA from 1 species
CCUACGGGAGGCAGCAGUGAGGAAUAUUGGUCAAUGGACGAGAGUCUGAACCAGCCAAGUCGCGUGCAGGAUGACUGCCCUAUGGGUUGUAAACUUCUUUUAUAUGGGAAUAAAAUGUUCCACGUGUGGGAUUUUGUAUGUACCAUAUGAAUAAGGAUCGGCUAACUCCGUGCCAGCAACCGCGGUAAUACGGAGGAUCCGAGCGUUAUCCGGAUUUCUUGGGUUUAAAGGGAGCGUAGGUGGAUUGUUAAGUCAGUUGUGAAAGUUUGCGGCUCAACCGUAAAAUUGCAGUUGAAACUGGCAGUCUUGAGUACAGUAGAGGUGGGCGGAAUUCGUGGUGUAGCGGUGAAAUGCUUAGAUAUCACGAAGAACUCCGAUUGCGAAGGCAGCUCACUGGACUGCAACUGACACUGAGGCUCGAAAGUGUGGGUAUCGAACAGGAUUAGAUACCCCAGUAGUC